rnacentral:rRNA from 1 species
AGUGAACGCUGGCGGUAGGCCUAACACAUGCAAGUCGAACGGCAGCACAGUAAGAGCUUGCUCUUACGGGUGGCGAGUGGCGGACGGGUGAGGAAUACAUCGGAAUCUACUUUUUCGUGGGGGAUAACGUAGGGAAACUUACGCUAAUACCUCAUACGACCUACGGGUGAAAGCAGGGGAUCUUCGUACCUUGCGCGAUUGAAUGAGCCGAUGUCGGAUUAGCUAGUUGGCGGGGUAAAGGCCCACCAAGGCGACGAUCCGUAGCUGGUCUGAGAGGAUGAUCAGCCACACUGGAACUGAGACACGGUCCAGACUCCUACGGGAGGCAGCAGUGGGGAAUAUUGGACAAUGGGCGCAAGCCUGAUCCAGACAUACCGCGUGGGUGAAGAAGGCCUUCGGGUUGUAAAGCCCUUUUGUUGGGAAAGAAAAGCAGCAGGUUAAUACCCCGCUGUUCUGACGGUACCCAAAGAAUAAGCACCGGCUAACUUCGUG